GGAGGCUGGAGAAGAUUACAGAGGCACAGGGAACUUUUAUGGGUGAUGGAUAUGUUCCCCAUCUUAACAGGCUGGAUGGUUUUAUGGCAGGGUCUUUUAUCUGGAAGGAUUCACUGUGUUCCGCUGCCUGGAACUAUUCUGGGAGGGGACAAAGACAAGCUUUCAUCUCGGGAAGGAAAUGGAACCACAUCUACAAGGCGUAAGGAAGAGUCAGAGCUGUUAACAAAAAAACCUCCGAGUCUUUCUCUGCCAGAAGGAAGAGGUGAAUAGAAACUAGGAAGCCCCCUUUCACUGAAGGCCUGAGAGCAAAUUCCGGUGGGGAAGCAGUCACUGGAGUCUUCGCCCAUACCACAUCUGUGAAGGCGGCAACUUGCUCUCUGCCUUUGUUCCAAGGUCUGCCUCCUCUCUCCACCACCGACUUUAUCCCUUCCCCAAACACUUCACCCAACCGAUGUCUUCUAUUUCCCUUCCUGUCCAAACCCAAGAAACUUAAACUAAAACAUAUGGUGGAA